rnacentral:rRNA from 1 species
AGCGCAUACGGUGGAUGCCUUGGCAGUCAGAGGCGAUGAAAGACGUGGUAGCCUGCGAAAAGCUUCGGGGAGUCGGCAAACAGACUUUGAUCCGGAGAUCUCUGAAUGGGGGAACCCACCUAGGAUAACCUAGGUAUCUUGUACUGAAUCCAUAGGUGCAAGAGGCGAACCAGGGGAACUGAAACAUCUAAGUACCCUGAGGAAAAGAAAUCAACCGAGAUUCCCUUAGUAGUGGCGAGCGAACGGGGAUUAGCCCUUAAGCUUCAUUGAUUUUAGCGGAACGCUCUGGAAAGUGCGGCCAUAGUGGGUGAUAGCCCCGUACGCGAAAGGAUCUUUGAAGUGAAAUCGAGUAGGACGGAGCACGAGAAACUUUGUCUGAACAUGGGGGGACCAUCCUCCAAGGCUAAAUACUACUGACUGACCGAUAGUGAACCAGUACCGUGAGGGAAAGGCGAAAAGAACCCCGGAGAGGGGAGUGAAAUAGAACCUGAAACCGUAUGCGUACAAGCAGUGGGAGCCUACUUGUUAGGUGACUGCGUACCUUUUGUAUAAUGGGUCAGCGACUUAUAUUCAGUGGCAAGCUUAACCGUAUAGGGUAGGCGUAGCGAAAGCGAGUCUUAAUAGGGCGUUUAGUCGCUGGGUAUAGACCCGAAACCGGGCGAUCUAUCCAUGAGCAGGUUGAAGGUUAGGUAACACUGACUGGAGGACCGAACCCACUCCCGUUGAAAAGGUAGGGGAUGACUUGUGGAUCGGAGUGAAAGGCUAAUCAAGCUCGGAGAUAGCUGGUUCUCCUCGAAAGCUAUUUAGGUAGCGCCUCAUGUAUCACUCUGGGGGGUAGAGCACUGUUUCGGCUAGGGGGUCAUCCCGACUUACCAAACCGAUGCAAACUCCGAAUACCCAGAAGUGCCGAGCAUGGGAGACACACGGCGGGUGCUAACGUCCGUCGUGAAAAGGGAAACAACCCAGACCGCCAGCUAAGGUCCCAAAGUUGUGGUUAAGUGGUAAACGAUGUGGGAAGGCUUAGACAGCUAGGAGGUUGGCUUAGAAGCAGCCACCCUUUAAAGAAAGCGUAAUAGCUCACUAGUCGAGUCGGCCUGCGCGGAAGAUGUAACGGGGCUCAAACCACACACCGAAGCUGCGGGUGUCACGCAAGUGACGCGGUAGAGGAGCGUUCUGUAAGCCUGUGAAGGUGAGUUGAGAAGCUUGCUGGAGGUAUCAGAAGUGCGAAUGCUGACAUGAGUAACGACAAUGGGUGUGAAAAACACCCACGCCGAAAGACCAAGGGUUCCUGCGCAACGUUAAUCGACGCAGGGUUAGUCGGUUCCUAAGGCGAGGCUGAAAAGCGUAGUCGAUGGGAAACAGGUUAAUAUUCCUGUACUUCUGGUUACUGCGAUGGAGGGACGGAGAAGGCUAGGCCAGCUUGGCGUUGGUUGUCCAAGUUUAAGGUGGUAGGCUGAAAUCUUAGGUAAAUCCGGGGUUUCAAGGCCGAGAGCUGAUGACGAGUCGUCUUUUAGAUGACGAAGUGGUUGAUGCCAUGCUUCCAAGAAAAGCUUCUAAGCUUCAGGUAACCAGGAACCGUACCCCAAACCGACACAGGUGGUCGGGUAGAGAAUACCAAGGCGCUUGAGAGAACUCGGGUGAAGGAACUAGGCAAAAUGGCACCGUAACUUCGGGAGAAGGUGCGCCGGCUAGGGUGAAGGAUUUACUCCGUAAGCUCUGGCUGGUCGAAGAUACCAGGCCGCUGCGACUGUUUAUUAAAAACACAGCACUCUGCAAACACGAAAGUGGACGUAUAGGGUGUGACGCCUGCCCGGUGCCGGAAGGUUAAUUGAUGGGGUUAGCGCAAGCGAAGCUCUUGAUCGAAGCCCCGGUAAACGGCGGCCGUAACUAUAACGGUCCUAAGGUAGCGAAAUUCCUUGUCGGGUAAGUUCCGACCUGCACGAAUGGCGUAACGAUGGCGGCGCUGUCUCCACCCGAGACUCAGUGAAAUUGAAAUCGCUGUGAAGAUGCAGUGUAUCCGCGGCUAGACGGAAAGACCCCGUGAACCUUUACUGUAGCUUUGCACUGGACUUUGAGCCUGCUUGUGUAGGAUAGGUGGGAGGCUUUGAAGCGUGGACGCCAGUUCGCGUGGAGCCAUCCUUGAAAUACCACCCUGGCAUGCUUGAGGUUCUAACUCUGGUCCGUAAUCCGGAUCGAGGACAGUGUAUGGUGGGCAGUUUGACUGGGGCGGUCUCCUCCUAAAGAGUAACGGAGGAGUACGAAGGUGCGCUCAGACCGG